UGUGGCAAAGAAGAUGCACACUUGCCCUCACUUAGAUCACAGAUGGCACCUUUGUUCCCUAGAGGAUUAUCCUAUUGGUCAGA
rnacentral:snoRNA from 1 species